rnacentral:rRNA from 1 species
AGUGAACGCUGGCGGUAGGCCUAACACAUGCAAGUCGAACGGCAGCACAGUAAGAGCUUGCUCUUACGGGUGGCGAGUGGCGGACGGGUGAGGAAUACAUCGGAAUCUACUUUUUCGUGGGGGAUAACGUAGGGAAACUUACGCUAAUACCGCAUACGACCUCCGGGUGAAAGCAGGGGAUCUUCGGACCUUGCGCGAUUGAAUGAGCCGAUGUCGGAUUAGCUAGUUGGCGGGGUAAAGGCCCACCAAGGCGACGAUCCGUAGCUGGUCUGAGAGGAUGAUCAGCCACACUGGAACUGAGACACGGUCCAGACUCCUACGGGAGGCAGCAGUGGGGAAUAUUGGACAAUGGGCGCAAGCCUGAUCCAGCCAUACCGCGUGGGUGAAGAAGGCCUUCGGGUUGUAAAGCCCUUUUGUUGGGAAAGAAAAGCAGCAGGUUAAUACCCCGCUGCUCUGACGGUACCCAAAGAAUAAGCACCGGCUAACUUCGUG